UACGUAGGGUGCAAGCGUUACUCGGAAUUACUGGGCGUAAAGCGUGCGCAGGCGGUUUUGUAAGACUGUCGUGAAAUCCCCGGGCUCAACCUGGGAAUGGCGAUGGUGACUGCAAGGCUAGAGUUUGGCAGAGGGGGGUAGAAUUCCACGUGUAGCAGUGAAAUGCGUAGAUAUGUGGAGGAACACCGAUGGCGAAGGCAGCCCCCUGGGUCAAAACUGACGCUCAUGCACGAAAGCGUGGGGAGCAAACAGG
rnacentral:rRNA from 1 species